GCUUCAACCUGAUCUUGUAGGCAGCACUGGAUCUCACAUUGUCUGCAGCAUUUGUCCUUCCUUGAGGCAAAAAAGUGGGGCUUUUGUACACACAUAUCAGUCAACCCUUAGCUUAGGGAAGCCCCAGGGGAAGGGUUGUAACUCCUAGGUAUCUCGUAGACAGGCAACUCCUCUUGCUUAAAGGCAUUUCCCAGACAAGGCUUGCUCUGUGAGCCUUUAAUAGCAGUUAAUAAAAAGAUUGCCAGAGAUCUGAUUGGGACUGCAACAGCCUCAGCUACAUUAAGAUAUGGGGGCACAUUCAAGGCCUGUUUUAUAGAGACUAGCAGGAUCUGGGGACCCAGUCAGAAGACACUUGGGGUUUAGGGCAGGAAGUCUACUGAUUGCCACAAUGGACAGUGCUGACCCAGAUUGGAUCCAGGGCUCAAAGAGCAUCUCCAAGGGACCAUAUAAGAAUCACUAACAUGAGCUGCAUACGCUGGAGGCCCCUCUGCUGUCAUUAUUUUAUGUGCUGGAAAACGCUGCGAUGGGAAGACAGCCC
rnacentral:lncRNA from 1 species